GACGAACGCUGGCGGCGUGCUUAACACAUGCAAGUCGAACGGAAAGGCCCUGCUUUUGUGGGGUGCUCGAGUGGCGAACGGGUGAGUAACACGUGAGUAACCUGCCCUUGACUUUGGGAUAACUUCAGGAAACUGGGGCUAAUACCGGAUAGGAGCUCCUGCUGCAUGGUGGGGGUUGGAAAGUUUCGGCGGUUGGGGAUGGACUCGCGGCUUAUCAGCUUGUUGGUGGGGUAGUGGCUUACCAAGGCUUUGACGGGUAGCCGGCCUGAGAGGGUGACCGGCCACAAUGGGACUGAGAUACGGCCCAGACUGCUACGGGAGGCAGCAGUGGGGAAUAUUGCACAAUGGGCGGAAGCCUGAUGCAGCAACGCCGCGUGCGGGAUGACGGCCUUCGGGUCGUAAACCGCUUUCGCAUGUGACGAAGCGUGAGUGACGGUAAUGGGUAAAGAAGCACCGGCUAACUACGUG
rnacentral:rRNA from 1 species